rnacentral:rRNA from 1 species
GACGAACGCUGGCGGCGUGCCUAAUACAUGCAAGUAGAACGCUGAAGCUUGGUGCUUGCACCGAGCGGAUGAGUUGCGAACGGGUGAGUAACGCGUAGGUAACCUGCCUGGUAGCGGGGGAUAACUAUUGGAAACGAUAGCUAAUACCGCAUAAGAGUAGAUGUUGCAUGACAUUUGCUUAAAAGGUGCAAUUGCAUCACUACCAGAUUGACCUGCGUUGUAUUAGCUAGUUGGUGAGGUAACGGCUCACCAAGGCAACGAUACAUAGCCGACCUGAGAGGGUGAUCGGCCACACUGGGACUGAGACACGGCCCAGACUCCUACGGGAGGCAGCAGUAGGGAAUCUUCGGCAAUGGACGGAAGUCUGACCGAGCAACGCCGCGUGAGUGAAGAAGGUUUUCGGAUCGUAAAGCUCUGUUGUAAGAGAAGAACGAGUGUGAGAGUGGAAAGUUCACACUGUGACGGUAUCUUACCAGAAAGGGACGGCUAACUACGUG